CAAGCACCAGACGAUGCUGAUCCAGGUGAAGGCCCCAGUGCAGCAGCAACAGCACAUGAUGGAGACGAUGAUGAGGAGGAGACCAUCUCUCUGGAUUCCAGAAGGCAUGAGGACCCAGAUGCUAUACAGUGGGAAAACCAGCCUGGCAACAUAAGCUCACAAGCUAUCAGAAAGUUGUAUGGCAACCACCUCCGGCGCCAAAUAGAACUGGCAGACAUAGACAUUCAGUACAAGAAGAAAAAGAUGGAAAAUCUUGCACUGGAGUCCGAAAUAAAAAAGAGGACAAUUAGGAAAC